rnacentral:rRNA from 1 species
UACGGGGGGAGCAAGCGUUGUUCGGAUUUACUGGGCGUAAAGGGCGCGUAGGCGGCCACCGCAAGUCGACUGUGAAAUCUCUGGGCUUAACCCAGAACGGUCAGCCGAUACUGCGGGGCUAGAGUGCAGAAGGGGCAACUGGAAUUCUCGGUGUAGCGGUGAAAUGCGUAGAUAUCGAGAGGAACACCUGCGGCGAAGGCGGGUUGCUGGGCUGACACUGACGCUGAGGCGCGAAAGCGUAGGGAGCGAACGGG